UACAGAGGUCUCAAGCGUUGUUCGGAAUUACUGGGCGUAAAGGGUGCGCAGGCCGCGCGGCAGUCAAUUGUGUAAUUCAGGGGCUCAACCCCUGGACUGCGCUUGAUACUUCCGUGCUAGAGCUUUGGAGAGGAGUCUGGAAUUCUCGGUGUAGCAGUGAAAUGCGUGGAUAUCGAGAAGAACACUUAGGGCGAAGGCAAGACUCUGGACAAAUGCUGACGCU
rnacentral:rRNA from 1 species